rnacentral:tRNA from 1 species
UGGCUCAGUGGUAGAGUGCUUGCCUCACAUGCAUGAGGCCUUGGGUUCAAUUCCUUA